UAUUUUGUCUCGGUCCAAGAAGCCAAUUCGAUUCAUUUGUCGCACAAGUGUUUGUAACAUCUUGUAUCAGAGGAAUACCUCCAGAUAGGAACUGUGUUCAAAAGGGAACAAUCGAGUGAAAAAAUUUCAGCAGUGCAUGGAAAACAACCAUCACUAUCUGUUGACAGGGUGGUUGAAUCACCUGAUUUCCUGUCUUGUCUGCCGUUUCCGAUAACAAUUUCCUUACGCAGAGAAAAAGUCAAUGCAUAAUAUUACUUUAUGCAGAAAACGAUACCACGUUUUACUUUUAAUGCCUAUUCAAGAGCAUUCAACUUCAUUGGGAUAUUCUAAUAUACGCCCAUAGUAGCUGAUCAAUUUAUACUCAUUCAGAGUAAAAGAUAGAUAGCUAACAUUAUGGAUCGUGUUAGUGGUACCUUCAAGCAAACUAUUUGAAACAGCAAAAAUCAAAAAAUUAUUAGGUGAAAGCAUAAUUAAUUUUGUUUGAUAAAAAUGUUUCACCUAACACAGAUUAAUAGUUCGUUUAUCUGAGGUAACACACUAUAUACCAGAAAUUAAAAUGAAUGUAAAAUUUCUAACUUGCUUGAUUGCAUUUAUUUUGAUCUUCUUGAACCCGUCAGUUGUGGCAUUUAUUAAAAAUGGAUUUAAAAAAGUGCCUCGUGGAUCUAUGGAUCUGGAGAAAUUUGAAAACCUGUUUGAAGAGAACCACAUUUGAUCAAAUGAACAUUGAACAAGAAGAGUAACGUGUUUUAUGUGCUUUUUAAAUAUAAUAAAUGCACCGAUAAUUGUUGUGUGAUUCAUAAUACUUAUCUGCGAAAGGGGUUUCUUUUAUGUCAGCAUAGAAGGAGCAUAAGGUCAGGAUUUGCAAAUGAGAUACUUUUAAACGAUCAAAAUGAUACCCAGCAAAAAGUACAUUUUAAAGCUACGAAUAUUUUCGUCUUUUCGGUUUAAAUAAAAUCGGGAAAUCCAGUGUAACAUCGCUCAUUACUCUACCAGGAAAGUGUGCAUAUUAGACUUUUAAACCUUUCAUCAUGCCAAAAUGAAAUUAUCAUAAAAAAGCAAUCGAAAAUACAACUUUCAACGGGAUAAGACAUUUGUGUGGCUCCAUAAAUCAACUGACGGCUCAAAAUCAGCACCAUGGGCAUUUUAUUCUUGAUAAAACGGUUGGCUUUCUUGAGUCUUGUAAUAUUCGUAUUUUUCGCUCCCAGAAAACUGGACAUCAACUUUAGGUAAGACUACAAAAAAUGCAUAUGUGGCCGUUUUAUUUUCGUUAAAAACUCUGCAGUCGUAUAUAUCGUUCGCUUUUUAGUAUGAGCAUACAUUUUUGAAGGCUAAUAGUCUUCUAAGCUAACCGGGUUGUGAAAACGAUCUAAUCAUGCACAUAUACGAGUAUGAAAAAACUUUACCAUAAAAUGAAACCAAUAUAUACAACUUUAACCCAUGUAUGAGGCAAAAUUAGAAAAUGUUCAUUUCGUUAUUUCCAAUUAACACGACUCACGCGAGACACAGGCUGUAGAUGUCCUGGGGCCGUACACUGCCCAGUCCGAUAUGUAAAAUGGGGCCUCCAGAACUAUGCGCACCAGGAUGGCGCACAACCUUAACAUAUUAUGUGUGUACCGGUUAGGAUUCAGGUUGUGCGAUAUCUUGCUGCGCAUACUUCUGGAGCACCGUAAAAUGUACGUGGUUCAAUAACUUAACGGGCCGGACGGAACAGUCACGUGGCGUUUAAUGCCCAGGUAUGUCUUUUUCGCAGGCGGGUUCAACAUUGGCUUUCUAUUAGUUGCAGGCACAAAAUAGUUUCUUUUUGUUAUUGUGACCAUAUGCCAUUAUUAGGGGUCCUUGCAGAAAUGAUGAUUCGAAACGUAUACAUUUCUGAAA